UGUCUGUUUGCGGGAGAGAGCCGUUAAGGCCGCCGAAGGGGAAAACGCCCGAAAUCUCUCAGGUACAAGGAACCGCAGGCGGGUA
rnacentral:ncRNA from 3 species